CCUACGGGUGGCACCAGUGGGGAAUAUUGCACAAUGGGCGCAAGCCUGAUGCAGCCAUGCCGCGUGUAUGAAGAAGGCCUUCGGGUUGUAAAGUACUUUCAGCGGGGAGGAAGGUGUUGUGGUUAAUAACCACAGCAAUUGACGUUACCCGCAGAAGAAGCACCGGCUAACUCCGUGCCAGCAGCCGCGGUAAUACGGAGGGUGCAAGCGUUAAUCGGAAUUACUGGGCGUAAAGCGCACGCAGGCGGUCUGUCAAGUCGGAUGUGAAAUCCCCGGGCUCAACCUGGGAACUGCAUUCGAAACUGGCAGGCUAGAGUCUUGUAGAGGGGGGUAGAAUUCCAGGUGUAGCGGUGAAAUGCGUAGAGAUGUGGAGGAACACCAGUGGCGAAGGCGGCUCUCUGGUCUGUAACUGACGCUGAGGCGCGAAAGCGUGGGGAGCAAACAGGAUUAGAUACCCGCGUAGUC
rnacentral:rRNA from 1 species